rnacentral:rRNA from 1 species
GCAAGUCGAACGAACUACAAGAGCUUGCUCUUGUAAGUUAGUGGCAAACGGGUGAGUAAUGUAGAGGAAUCUACCUAGCAGUAAGGGAUAACUUUGGGAAACUAAAGCUAAUACCAUAUAUUACCGAUUCGUCGGGAAAGAUUUAUCGCUGUUAGAUGAGCCUCUAUCGGAUUAGCUUGUUGGUAGGGUAAUGGCCUACCAAGGCAAUGAUCCGUAGCUGGUCUGAGAGGAUAGUC